rnacentral:misc_RNA from 1 species
AAUACUACCUUCACUUCUUUAUAAACCUUGCGAGUUUAAAGAAGAACAUACCUUGAGUAUUAAAAUUGUGAUCCGUUCUAAACUGUAUGGAUUUCUUACAGAUACAUCAUGGAUACAAGUCAUAUAAUAGUUCUGAUUGUAUUCAUCACAAACUUUGAUCGACAGAAGACAAUUGAAACAUGCGAUAAUAUCACACCGAUCCAUUUCUGGAAUAAAACCUGCGCAAACUAUGAUGUAUGUUAUCUACGACCUAGCACGACGUCGUUUUGGUUUGAAACACAUUUUUGGGGCGGAUACCUUGAAAUUGCAUGGGAUGACAGCUCAGUAUCACUCUGUUCGAAAAUUUACGAAUAUGACUUUCUAGUGCUUACGGAUAAACCACCCGCAAGAGAAGACCUAAAUGAUACAGUGUUGACUCUAGAAGCAUGCAUCAGGAAUCGGAAUGAUCUGUGUAAAGAAAAGGUUGACGUUCAUAUGAGGAAAUUGCAGUGGUAAUAUUCUUGUUCGAUUUCCAUGGGUAGGAGCUGAGGAAAACAGAGUCUAUGUUUGUAAAGACUUUGUUUUUUCGGGAGGUUGUAAUGAUUCCACAUUGAAAUUUACCUCUGAACUGGUCAGUGAGAAUGUAACUGAAAUCUCGCUGAGUGGAACAGGGUGGUACAAUACUUUCGAAGUAGGAAGUCGGUACACGUACAUGUUUCCUUCCAUAGACAAUACCCAAACGAUUUUCGAUGCCUGUCCAAAUGUUGCAUUUCAUUUCCUUCUUCAAGAUCCAGUACCCGAGACAAUCGAAGAAACGCCUGCAAAACUGAUACUGUGCAGAGUUACUCGUGUGAGCCAAGAAACAGAUUAUGUUUACAAACGAGACUGUAAUUAUUUUAUCUAUAUGCGGAAAUGCAACGGAAAGCUUCAGUUUGAAACGACAUGGGCGACGUGGGCGAUAUUGACGCCAUGGACGCCACAUCCGCCUUGGCCAUACAUGAAACUUUGUCUAGUGUGGCUGAACAGUGUCAAGGUCAUACCAGAAAUAAGGCAUACAAUGCAGUACGUUGAUUCAGACGGUAAUACAGCUGUGAUGUAUAACCCUUUCUUGCAGUUCAGAUGUUCAUUCGAAAUGGAGGAGGAUACCCUAUAUAAAAUAAAAUGGUAUAUCAAUGACACCAUUUACAUCAGAGACAGAACCUUCGAAUUUAUCUGAAGAUCUUGCUUUAAAAAGUGACGAUAUAAACAAUAUGGAACUUGGCUACAAGAUAAAAUGUGGGGUCGUAAAAAUGACAAUAGAAAAUUUUUCAGAAGUAUCAAGUUUCAACUUCUUUGCUGGCUGGAAGAUUUCAGAUAUGGAUGUAAAAGUCACCAAGGGUGGUUCCGUCACUGUUACUGUAGAACAGACAGUCCCAAUUGGCUGUGCCUAUACCGCCGGUGAACAAACACAUUGCUCAGAAGAAUUAUCAAUAGUAGACCCAUCCUUCAUGCCGGAUAUAUGCAAGGGGAGCAUUCUGGCAGUAAAUGCAGACGACACAAGUAAAACUAACCAUCAAGUUCAGACCUUAAUGCAAGGUUCAGAGUGGCAAGGAAAUAAAAAGUAUCGCUUCAAACUUUCAACAUCUGAUGUUUCUUACGAUGAUGCAACAGUAUAUGAUUUACAAGUUCGUCUUACGGACGGAGCAGAUAAUCGCACUCGUCGGGAUACGGAGUCUAGAACGAAGGUGAUAGAUACCUUGCACGUGGAUGUUACGGACGCAUGGCGACAUUUGAACAAGCUUUGCUAUUCCCAUGUAGACCCACAUAUGCGAACAGCUGAUGGAAGAUACUAUGAACAGCAGAGGGAAGGUGAUUAUAUGUUUCUCCGAAAUAUAGCUGAGCAAAUGGAGAUUCAAGAAUCAGCAAGGUACUGCUUUCCUCCUCGACGUUCAAACAUAAACCGCCAGUAUGUACAUGCGGCAUAGCUAUACGUUUUGGAGCAGAUGUUUUCAUGGUCAACAGGUGUGGCAGCUUAAACCUUCUUGAUUUUGUACAGUGUGGUGAAGGGGGAAUACUUGAGGUCGACCGCGUUCAUGACUACCGCUACAGGGUAAGGGCUCCGACAGGAACAAUAAUAGAUAUUACCCUCAGAAGAUCGAAAUUCAUGAACAUAGAUGUGUAUAUGUCUCCAAGAGAUUUUGGUAACUUAGAUGGUCUAUGUGGCUAUUUUGACGGCAUUGUUGCAAAUGAUUUUCUACACAGAGAUGGAAAUAUUUCAAAUGGAAUGCUGAUUAUAGGUUUUCGGACAGUU